UCAGGUGAUCCACCCACCUCAGCCUCUCAAAGUUCUGGAAUUAUAGGCGUGAGCCAUUGCACCCAGCCUGGACUUGGAGGAUUUUAAAGCUCACUGACUUCUGAAUGCUUUUAUUGACUCUGCCGUCUGCAAUUAUUUAAUGCCUAAGGAAGCAUUUCCAUUCUUGCUAAUAAAGCCAAUGGUCCCUCCUGUGUUUUUUGUUGAGAUCUUGACCCUUUCCAGAUGAUCUUCUUUGACAUGACCAGAUGUGACCCCAUUCUGACUCCUUCUUACAAAAUGCCCACAACUGGUCCGUAGGGAAACACUCACAUAUUAUGAACCCCAGAGUAAUUUGGGCAUUGGUGAUUCCCCACUCAGCAAAUUUCUCUUUGCUCCAGCAUAAGUAGAGCUAGACAGUCACUUGGACUUUAGGUUUCUCAUAUACAUGGGUCAGACACCAGUCUAUACGCACAUCAAAAUGCAGGGGACACAUAUUAGGGAUUCUAAAGAGGUUCUGUUGAAGUUUCUUUCCCCACGCUGAGGUGAGGAAAGAGAUCUCCUAUUCUUCAGAGCAAAAAUCACAGCUUAUCAAUAACUUUUUCCAAAUAAGUUCCCCUUUUUAAUUUCAGAUACUAGGACUUUGAUGUAGGUAUAGCAUUUUAGAAUUGUGUAACUGGUUUCUCAGAAUCCUCCUUUGGAAAUUCAACAUAUGGCCUUACACCUCUUUGGGAAUGUGCUAAUUAUUGUCUUGGGGCUACAGCCAAAACUUCCAUUUUAAUAUUCCAUUAUAUAUAAUUAUUACUUCUGGAUAAAAUCGAUUUCCAUGCUUUUGUGCACUUUAUUUUCUUCUCUUUCUCUCCUAUCAGAACAACUGAAUUGGAGCCAUAUGGUGGGAAGAAAGGAGUGUUAUAUAUUUCACAUACCUAUUUAGAUGGUGAGGGAGAUGUUCAAGGAGCCCAGUGUUUGAAGAUAGCACAAUCAUUUAUCUCAUAACUCUUGAUAUGCUAUUAUUCCCUCCAUUUGGGUUGGCCUGUUAAUGGUCUUCCUUGGUGAAUUUCCAUAUGAGAGGCAGUUUGAUAUAGGAGUUAUGCACAGAGUCCGGGGUUAGACCAUUUGGAUCAAAUUCCAGCUCCACAAUUUAUUAGUUGUGUGUCUUUGGGCAAGUUAUUUAAUCUCUAUGAACCUCAAUUUUCUUAUCUGUAGAAUGGGAGUAAUAGUACUUGCCUCUCAGAGUUGUGAGAAUUAGAUGAGUUAAUAUAUAUAAGACUUUUAGAACAAUGCUUGGUAUAUAGCAAGUGCUAUGUAAGUAGUAGCAGCAGUAGCAGUACUUGUGAUUACUAAUACCACUGGUAUUCAUUCUUUAAGUUUCAGUUUAAAUAUUACGUAGUUUGUGAAGCCUUUUGCAAUUCUCCCAAUCAGAAUAAACCAGCCUCUAAUCCAUGGACUCAGAAUGAAUGAAUGGUCUACUGCCACCCUUGUCACAGGGGACCAAGCAACCUUGGAGAAUCCACCUGCAACAUUCCUCAGAGAAGCUGCAACAUUACUUUAAAAGAAGUUACAGCAGUGCAUACUAUUGUUGCUUUCCUACAAUGUAGCAAACAGAAACUUUGGUUCCAGAAUGUUCCUGAAUAUAACACAGUAAAAUUUCUUGAUAGGAGUGCUUCACAAAAGAUGUCAUUGAAGAUACCCAGUUUGGAAGUUAAGGCAUUGGCUCUGACAUUACUUUUGCCCCAUCUAAGCUUAGUUUGGUAGAGUCAUAUAUAGGGCAGGAUCUAGCUAAUAAUUGUCCUUAACUCAAAAGCAUAAUCUUAUUUCAGGUAGAAAGCCACACUAACUUAAUUGCCAACCAGAUAAAUGGUGAUCACUUGAAAUCUGUUUUAUACUUAUAAAUAAAUCUUGAAAUAUUAAUUAUCCGUGCUUAAAAGAUGAAAUGAUAUUUUGACAACAGCCACAACUUGGUUCAAAUGUCCCAAAUGUUCUACAAUAUUUUGAGAGGUUGUUGGUAAGCAGAAUUACUUAAGGAACAGAAAAUAACUAGAAAUGAUAUUGAAGCAACAUAACAAAAUUUAGCAUAAACCUUUACUUUUAUAAUUCAUAUAAAUUACUUAUAAGCUCUUUCUAUUAAGCAUUUACAAAUGGUUCUGCUAAAUAUUUUCUUAGCAAUAUUUCCCUUCUAAGUUCCUUUUGAUUACUGUUCCGAGACAUCUGUUCUUUUUUUUUUUUUUUUCCCUUUCCCUCUAGGUAAGUCAACCAGAGCAAAAUAUCUAUUCUUAAGUGUGGGUAUCAUUUGAGACUGUAGUUGAAGGUUACAUGGCAUAUCUAUAUCAUUACCUCUGUUUUCUAAUUCAUUUGGCUCCAUGGCCAUAACCAGAGGAUAUAAAAUAAAGGUUCCAGUAAAUAUCUCUUGAAA